AUGAAGGACGUGCUAAUCUGCGAAAAGCGUCGGUAAGGUGAUAUGAACCGUUAUAACCGGCGAUGUCCGAAUGGGGAAACCCAGUGCAAUUCGUUGCACUAUCGUUAACUGAAUACAUAGGUUAACGAGGCGAACCGGGGGAACUGAAACAUCUAAGUACCCCGAGGAAAAGAAAUCAACCGAGAUUCCCCCAGUAGCGGCGAGCGAACGGGGAGCAGCCCAGAGUCUGAAUCAGCUUGUGUGUUAGUGGAACGGUCUGGAAAGUCCGACGGUACAGGGUGAUAGUCCCGUACACCAAAAUGCACAGGCUGUGAACUCGAAGAGUAGGGCGGGACACGUGGUAUCCUGUCUGAAUAUGGGGGGACCAUCCUCCAAGGCUAAAUACUCCUGACUGACCGAUAGUGAACCAGUACCGUGAGGGAAAGGCGAAAAGAACCCCGGCGAGGGGAGUGAAAAAGAACCUGAAACCGUGUACGUACAAGCAGUGGGAGCACCUUCGGGUGUGACUGCGUACCUUUUGUAUAAUGGGUCAGCGACUUAUAUUCUGUAGCAAGGUUAACCGUAUAGGGGAGCCGCAGGGAAACCGAGUCUUAACUGGGCGUUAAGUUGCAGGGUAUAGACCCGAAACCCGGUGAUCUAGCCAUGGGCAGGUUGAAGGUUGGGUAACACUAACUGGAGGACCGAACCGACUAAUGUUGAAAAAUUAGCGGAUGACUUGUGGCUGGGGGUGAAAGGCCAAUCAAACCGGGAGAUAGCUGGUUCUCCCCGAAAGCUAUUUAGGUAGCGCCUCGUGAAUUCAUCUUCGGGGGUAGAGCACUGUUUCGGCUAGGGGGUCAUCCCGACUUACCAACCCGAUGCAAACUACGAAUACCGAAGAAUGUUAUCACGGGAGACACACGGCGGGUGCUAACGUCCGUCGUGAAGAGGGAAACAACCCAGACCGCCAGCUAAGGUCCCAAAGUCAUGGUUAAGUGGGAAACGAUGUGGGAAGGCACAGACAGCCAGGAUGUUGGCUUAGAAGCAGCCAUCAUUUAAAGAAAGCGUAAUAGCUCACUGGUCGAGUCGGCCUGCGCGGAAGAUGUAACGGGGCUAAACCAUGCACCGAAGCUGCGGCAGCGACACUAUGUGUUGUUGGGUAGGGGAGCGUUCUGUAAGCCUGCGAAGGUGACCUGUGAGGGUUGCUGGAGGUAUCAGAAGUGCGAAUGCUGACAUAAGUAACGAUAAAGCGGGUGAAAAGCCCGCUCGCCGGAAGACCAAGGGUUCCUGUCCAACGUUAAUCGGGGCAGGGUGAGUCGACCCCUAAGGCGAGGCCGAAAGGCGUAGUCGAUGGGAAACAGGUUAAUAUUCCUGUACUUGGUGUUACUGCGAAGGGGGGACGGAGAAGGCUAUGUUAGCCGGGCGACGGUUGUC
rnacentral:rRNA from 1 species